rnacentral:rRNA from 1 species
UGGGGGAUAUUGCACAAUGGGGGGAACCCUGAUGCAGCGACGCCGCGUGAGUGAAGAAGUAUCUCGGUAUGUAAAGCUCUAUCAGCAGGGAAGAACAAAGACGGUACCUGACUAAGAAGCCCCGGCUAACUACGUGCCAGCAGCCGCGGUAAUACGUAGGGGGCGAGCGUUAUCCGGAUUUACUGGGUGUAAAGGGAGCGUAGACGGCAUGGCAAGUCUGGAGUGAAAGCCCGGGGCCCAACCCCGGGACUGCUCUGGAAACUGUCAGGCUGGAGUGCUGGAGAGGUAAGUGGAAUUCCUAGUGUAGCGGUGAAAUGCGUAGAUAUUAGGAGGAACACCAGUGGCGAAGGCGGCUUACUGGACAGCAACUGACGUUGAGGCUCGAAAGCGUGGGGAGCAAACAGG